GGCUGGUCAGAGGCAGUGGUGUUUACAACUAAUAGAUAACAACCAGUUAGAUUCUUUCCUUCCUUCUUCACUUGCACUGCUUCAUUUGACUAGCCUUAG
ensembl:misc_RNA Y_RNA Y RNA